rnacentral:rRNA from 1 species
UACGUAGGGUGCGAGCGUUGUCCGGAAUUAUUGGGCGUAAAGGGCUCGUAGGCGGUCUGUCGCGUCGAAAGUGAAAACUCAGGGCUUAACCCUGAGCCUGCUUCCGAUACGGGCAGACUAGAGGUAUGCAGGGGAGAACGGAAUUCCUGGUGUAGCGGUGAAAUGCGCGGAUAUCAGGAGGAACACCGGUGGCGAAGGCGGUUCUCUGGGCAUUACCUGACGCUGAGGAGCGAAAGUGUGGGGAGCGAACAGG